UAUCCAGUGAUUCAGUUUAAUUUUGUGUAACCUCGUGGCUAUCUGCUGCCUUGUGUUUUCUCCUACAAAGGCCAAGUCUGUUCUGUUUUCCUCAAAACCCUGACACCCUUUACCACUGAUGUUGAUUCCAGAUAAAGCCUAUUCCAUAUUUCAUAACUCUCCCCUUGCGCUGCAGCCUUCCAGAUGUUGCACCGGUUCCAUGCUUGGCUGCAGGCGAGGAGCAGCUGGGCUAAGCUGCUGCUCCCAUGGUGUUGUCCAGUUCCUUCCUUAAUGUCAACAUUAUCCCAAAACCGUGUAAACGUGUCAGGAGAAAAAACCCCAUGAAGUUUUACAGUAGUUUUUCAGCUGCUUUCGCACCAAGCCUCGCCUCCAAAGUUGCACAGUACUCCCGGCAAUCACAGAAGUCAGGGCAAGCUGUAUUUAAUUUAAUUAAUUAAUCCAUCACUAUAAAAGUUUGAAGAGAAAUGGAGGUAUGUAUAAAAAAAUAUGGAAGCUAAUAAUUUCUGAGUUAUGGCAUAAAACCAGCAGCAGUUCCUCUCCGAAUACGAUUUGCAGACAGGGUGUGGGGUAGCAGACGCAAGAGCCCUAAAGCCAUAAAAUAAGGUUGCUCACUGGCAGGACCAUGCUUUGCUCUGACAGCAGUUCACAUUUUCUUUAGCACACAGAAAUCAGUGUCACAGGGAGCUGCAGCCACCAAAAAGCUGGUCCAGAGCUGCCAGAGCAUCCCUGCAGUGCAGAGGGCGCAGAGGCUGUCUCGAGGGCAUGUGUUGAAGGAGCGAUAUGAAGUGAUCACUCUGAUGGGAGAGUUUUCUGUCCCUUCCACUGACACGUUGUGUUAGCUUAGGCAGUGGAAUUAUGCCUCUGUGUGUUUAUUAUUGUGACUUGCAUGCCUGACCUCAGCUGGGCAAGUGUUGAGGGGAAAUCAGCAUUUUAAAUCUUAAGAACAGGAGCAGCUUUCCAAUGUUUAGUGAUGGGGAGGUUGCAAUGGACUCGGAGUUUAUAGGCUGGGUCUCAAAAGGCUCAGAUGCUGCACCAGACCCUUAGUUGUUUAUCAGGACCCCAUGUGAGCCUGACCAUCAAGCUAGACUCUCACCUUCACCAGGGUUUUGAUAAGAUUUCCAGAACUUCCUCCUGGGGUCAGCCCCUACAUGUGCAGAAAGAGCCUUUCUCACCUUCCUUGGGGUUUUCAUUUCCAUUUCAUUCCCUGAGCUUGGGAAGUGUUAGAAGCUGAACAAAGUGAGAAUUAUUUUUAGCCAAAUUAAGCUGAGCCUUGCAGCAGAGCUGGGUUCAGAGCGUGGAGGUCCCUCAUCUGUUUAUGUGCUCUCCUAAGCCACUGGCUCAGAACAAAAGAGGUCAGCAGCCAUCAUUUCCUUGACCUCAGAAUUGCUAAACUCUUCUCGCUUCUGCCGCUCUCUUGCUGGCUCCAGAAAAAAUAGGAAGGUUUUGUACUAAAUCCUUUGCAGGGCAAGAAAGAAAUCUGUCCCCUGGGGAGAGGAGGCAGCAAAGGAGAAAAUAAACUCUCAGAUUAAAUUUUAAAAGCGCUUUAUUAACACUUUUUUCUCUUUAAGCCUUAGUUCCCCCAUGAACAUCCACAUCGCAAAACCUUCCUCUUCCUUAAUAGCACUCUCAUUUAAACCACAGUAAAAGGAGAAACGUUGAGGGAGGAAUGAAAGUGUCUCCCAUUCCCACUUAACCCCUUACACAACUGCUCUGGAAACAACAAACACCCGAUUUCAGUGGUGGUUUUUCAUCCUCAUGGGCAGAGCUUCAUUUGCAACUGCACAUACCCUAAAAUCACUGCGCUACACACGCUGAAGGGGAACUUCUUUCCAAAGACACCAGCUUGGGCUCCACUGGGGAGCAUGAUGCUGAGCACAGUGGAACUCUGUCUGCUUGGCAGCCCCCCAGCAGUAGUGACUGUCAUGGGUGUGCCAGGCUGUCCUUGCAGCCUUUGGUAACUUCCCGGGGAAGAACAACAUUGAACACAAAGGCAUUCACAGGUACAGAGGAGCUAAUUGCCUGUGGACCCAGGUGAGUCCCAAGCCUUUAACCAGUGCAAAUGAGCUCCCCCUUCUUUUCCUCCUGGCAAGUCACUGGCACUAAGUACCUUCAGGUAUUUACAUGGUGCUGAUAGGUUGUUCUGGACUGGCUUUGCAGGCAGGGCAGACACCUGAGCAGAUGGUGGUUAUCCCAGCACAGAGCCCUUCCAUCGCCCUCUGCUCUGGGUACCCAAGCGGAAGCAAACCUCAUUGUGUGAUGUACAGUUCAUCUCUGUUUGUUUUCAUGGCCAAUGAAUUUGCAAUGAACCUGAGCAGAGGAGGAGAAACGCUGGGUUUAAUUCAGGAUAACCAAGUACCACUGUGGGAAGCACAGGCUACCCUUGGUUGAGCUUUUCUCUGCUUCGGGAACCCCCAGGCAGCUUUCAGUGUGAGCUUCGGGGAGAUGCCAGCUGGGAGAGGUGAGCUCCUGAUCCCAACUGCUCACAGCAUAUCUUAACUCUGGAAGACGUGCUGGUUGCUGGACUGCGCCCACAGCCCUUCCUCCCCAGUGCCCAGGCAUUUGGUAGGUACAGAAGAACCCCCAAAAGCAGAAGUAUAACGAUAAAAAGGGGAAAAUAUUAGAGGAGGCCAGAGGCAGAGUUCUGAUUUCCUCCACUUGCCUUGCAGAGGCCAGUGUGUAUUUUGAAUGAAGUUUACUGUUCCCUAACCCAUGGAACAGCCUCCCUGAUGCUGCUGGCUUCAGAGCCACCUAAAGCUGUAUCUGUCCCCCAGAAUGGGGCACAGUGCUCUUUGGUAGCAUGCAGCAAUGCCAGACUCCAGUGAGGACAGAGAGUGAGCCAUCCCCAGCCCUGUGGGUGUUUGGGAUGGCAGUUAGAUGCACAGGGAGAUUGCCUGCACUGGAAUUUGGCCAGGACACUGGGAUGAGCCAAACAAGCAUCUCCUUGGGACAACCGCUUCCAAUUUGGUUUGCUCUGCUGUAGGCAACUCUACCCAGCCCAGUAACAACAUCUCUCCAACUUGCAGCUGU